rnacentral:RNase_P_RNA from 1 species
UCGGUUUGGCGAGGAAAGUCCGGACAGCAUAGAGCAGCGUACUUCCUAACGGGAAGGUAUUCUGAUUUCAUCGGGAUAACAGCCAGUGCCACAGAAAAGAAACCGCCUUUCGGGGUAAGGGUGAAAAGGUGGGGUAAGAGCCUACCGGAUGUUUGGUGACAAACGUUGCAAGGUAAACCUUACGCGCUGAAAGAUCAUGUAAACCACGAACUUGAGGUAGCUCGCUUCAGUUCUUCGGAUGUCGUGGAGGGUAGAUCGUUAGAGGUUAUCGGUGACGGUAACUCCAGAUAAAUGAUAGACACUACGCAAUUUGCGUUAGCACAGAAUCCGGCUUAUGAUUUGCCUCU